CCUACGGGAGGCAGCAGUGGGGAAUAUUGCACAAUGGGGGAAACCCUGAUGCAGCGAAGCCGCGUGAGUGAAGAAGGAUCUCGGUACGUAAAGCUCUAUCAGCAGGGAAGAAAAUGACGGUACCUGACUAAGAAGCUCCGGAUAACUACGUGCCAGCAGCCGAGGUAAUACGUAGGGGGCAAGCGUUAUCCGGAUUUACUGGGGGUAAAGGGAGCGUAGACGGCAGCACAAGUCUGGAGUGAAAUCCCGGGGCUUAACCCCGGAACUGCUUUUGAAACUGGCCGGCUGGAGUGCAGGAGGGGUAAGCGGAAUUCGUGGUGUAGCGGUGAAAUGCGUAGAUAUUAGGAGGAACACCGAUGGCGAAGGCAGCUUACUGGACUGUAACUGACGUUGAGGCUCGAAAGCGUGGGGAGCAAACAGGAUUAGAUACCCGUGUAGGC
rnacentral:rRNA from 1 species